rnacentral:rRNA from 1 species
UACGUAGGGGGCAAGCGUUGUCCGGAUUUACUGGGCGUAAAGAGCGUGUAGGCGGCCAGACAGGUCCGUUGUGAAAACUAGAGGCUUAACCUCUAGACGUCGAUGGAAACCGUCUGGCUAGAGUCCGGAAGAGGAGAAUGGAAUUCCUGGUGUAGCGGUGAAAGUGCGCAGAUAUCAGGAAGAACACCCGUGGCUAAGGCGGUUCUCUAGUACGGUACUGACGCUGAGACGCGAAAGCGUGGGGAGCGAACAGG